rnacentral:snoRNA from 1 species
UUAAGUAAACUCACUUAUCCGGCUUACAGUGGAUAGUUUAUACUUGGAAAGUUGGUUCUGAAAAGUGUUACGGUCUCUCUAUCCACGAUGAGAGUCCUGAUACUUCUUUCUGAGCGUGAAAAUCUGAUGGAGAGUGAUGAGUAAAAUCAUCUGUUCUUUAUCAUUGAUGAACGUUCCUGCUGUGUUUCACAGUCUGGAGGAAAGAAGUAUGAUCAGAGUGGA